rnacentral:lncRNA from 1 species
AGUUUAAGCUGUAGGCACAAAAGAGAGAGCCCACCUGCAUAAAACACCCACAGCCUCACCCCCCCAUGAUGCCUUUUGCUGAAUCCAUGAGCGAUUUGAUACAGACCCCACGUCAAAUGGCUGAUACUGGAGAGCUAGGGUCUGUCCUUGAUACACUGCCAUAGACCCAUAUACAACAAAUGGAGCUUGUAUGUUAGCUGUACAAGUGUCAUACUGAGUAGUACACAGCACUUUGAAUUGCAUCCCAUUUAGAUCCCCUUCUGCAUUUCGAGAGGAGCGCCCACCAAUAGGUAUGUCAAUUUUAAGCUGUUAGACUGCCUUUUUUUUCCGGGGAAAAUGGUGCAUGCUGUGGAAAAGCAGGAGAGGUGAGGAAGGGCGAGGUGACACCAGCCUAGGGCUGUCUCCUUGGGCUGUCCCCAUGCUGUGAGCAGCUUCGUGUCACAGAACAGCAUGGCUCCGGAUCAAGAAUGUGUCUGGAAGAGUUGGAGCAGACUGGGAUUUAGAGAUGUGCACAGCCUGCUCUUUGAACUGUGGUUUGGCAAGACUUUGAUCUUAAAUGAUCUCGGGGAGAAUAGGUGUCAAACUGAUAAAAAUGUGCUUUCAAGUUGUUUGCCCAGACCAUGAUUGCACCGGGGCGGCCUUCAGACCUGGAAGCACCACUCCUAAAGGUAAGACCAACCGCAGCUUUCUGUGUCGGCUUGCUUUUUCCCUACAUUUCAGAACCAUCCCGUGGUCCUUUGUAUGUGGUCACCGAUAUAACGCACCUCAAAGGUGGUCACCGAUAUAACACACCUCAAAGAUGGUCACCGAUAUAACACACCUCAAAGAUGGUCAUCGAUAUAACACACCUCAAAGAUGGUCAUCGAUAUAACACACCUCUAAG